UAGGGAAUCUUCGGCAAUGGGGGCAACCCUGACCGAGCAACGCCGCGUGAGUGAAGAAGGUUUUCGGAUCGUAAAGCUCUGUUGUAAGAGAAGAACGAGUGUGAGAGUGGAAAGUUCACACUGUGACGGUAACUUACCAGAAAGGGACGGCUAACUACGUGCCAGCAGCCGCGGUAAUACGUAGGUCCCGAGCGUUGUCCGGAUUUAUUGGGCGUAAAGCGAGCGCAGGCGGUUUGAUAAGUCUGAAGUUAAAGGCUGUGGCUCAACCAUAGUUCGCUUUGGAAACUGUCAAACUUGAGUGCAGAAGGGGAGAGUGGAAUUCCAUGUGUAGCGGUGAAAUGCGUAGAUAUAUGGAGGAACACCGGUGGCGAAAGCGGCUCUCUGGUCUGUAACUGACGCUGAGGCUCGAAAGCGUGGGGAGCGAACAGGAUUAGAUACCCUGGUAGUCCACGCCGUAAACGAUGAGUGCUAGGUGUUGGAUCCUUUCCGGGAUUCAGUGCCGCAGCUAACGCAUUAAGCACUCCGCCUGGGGAGUACGACCGCAAGGUUG
rnacentral:rRNA from 1 species